rnacentral:miRNA from 1 species
GUGUGUGUGUGUAUAUGUGUAUACAUACACACACACACACACACACACACACACACACACACACAU